GGUUGCCUGGCGAAAUGGUAUCGCGUCUGACUACGAUCCUCUGUCAUGGACUGUUAUAAUCAGGAGAUUGCAGGUUCGAGACCUGCGGUGAUCA